rnacentral:rRNA from 1 species
GAGUUUGAUCCUGGCUCAGAUUGAACGCUGGCGGCAGGCCUAACACAUGCAAGUCGAGCGGUAGAGAGAAGCUUGCUUCUCUUGAGAGCGGCGGACGGGUGAGUAAUGCCUAGGAAUCUGCCUGGUAGUGGGGGAUAACGCUCGGAAACGGACGCUAAUACCGCAUACGUCCUACGGGAGAAAGCAGGGGACCUUCGGGCCUUGCGCUAUCAGAUGAGCCUAGGUCGGACUAGCUAGUUGGUGAGGUAAUGGCUCACCAAGGCGACGAUCCGUAACUGGUCUGAGAGGAUGAUCAGUCACACUGGAACUGAGACACGGUCCAGACUCCUACGGGAGGCAGCAGUGGGGAAUAUUGGACAAUGGGCGAAAGCCUGAUCCAGCCAUGCCGCGUGUGUGAAGAAGGUCUUCGGAUUGUAAAGCACUUUAAGUUGGGAGGAAGGGCAGUAAAUUAAUACUUUGCUGUUUUGACGUUACCGACAGAAUAAGCACCGGCUAACUCUGUGCCAGCCGCCG